rfam:Schistosoma haematobium scaffold246_25, whole genome shotgun sequence.
AUCCAGUUGACGAGUCCCAAAUAAGACGAAAUGCUCAUCAAACUGGAU